AUACGGAGGAUGCAAGCGUUAUCCGGAUUCAUUGGGUUUAAAGGGUGCGCAGGCGGAUUAUUAAGUCAGUGGUGAAAUCCUACAGCUCAACUGUAGAACUGCCAUUGAUACUGAUAAUCUUGAGUGUAUUUGAAGUGGGCGGAAUGUAGCAUGUAGCGGUGAAAUGCAUAGAUAUGCUACAGAACACCAAUUGCGAAGGCAGCUCACUAAACUACAACUGACGCUCAUGCACGAAAGCGUGUGGAUCAAACAGGAUUAGAGACCCUGGUAGUCCACGCUGUAAACGAUGAUUACUCGUUGUUGGCGACACACAGUCAGCGACCAAGCGAAAGUGAUAAGUAAUCCACCUGGGAGUACGAUCGCAAGGUUGAA
rnacentral:rRNA from 1 species